UACGAAGGGGGCUAGCGUUGCUCGGAAUCACUGGGCGUAAAGCGCACGUAGGCGGCUUCUUAAGUCAGGGGUGAAAUCCUGGGGCUCAACCCCAGAACUGCCCUUGAUACUGAGGAGCUUGAGUCCGGGAGAGGUGAGUGGAACUCCGAGUGUAGAGGUGAAAUUCGUAGAUAUUCGGAAGAACACCAGUGGCGAAGGCGGCUCACUGGACAAGUAUUGACGCUGAGGUGCGAAAGCGUGGGGAGCAAACAGG
rnacentral:rRNA from 1 species